UCAGACGAUGCGUCAUGCAUAUCAAUAAGCGGAGGAAAAGAAACUAACAAGGAUUCCCUUAGUAACGGCGAGUGAACAGGAAAGAGCUCAAAGUUGGAACCUGCUUGACUUAGUUAAGCCGGAUUGUAGACUGUAGAAACGUUUUCUAGGCAAGCCGAGUUAAAAAGUCCUUUGGAACAGGGCAUCAUAGAGGGUGAGAAUCCCGUCUUUGACUCGAGUAUUUUGUCUUUUUAUGAUACGUUUUCCAAGAGUCAGGUUGUUUGGGAAUGCAGCCUAAAUUGGGUGGUAAAUCUCACCUAAAGCUAAAUAUUUGCGAGAGACCGAUAGCGAACAAGUACCGUGAGGGAAAGAUGAAAAGAACUUUGAAAAGAGAGUUAAACAGUACGUGAAAUUGUCAAAAGGGAAGCGUUUGACACCAGUGUUGUUUUCUCGAAAAUCAAUUAAAAAGAGUUAGAUUUUGUUGUGUAUUGACCUUAACAGCUUGCAUUUCAAUUUUCUUGCUUUUUUUAAUGCACUUUUCGUUUAACAAGUCAACAUCAGUUUCUUUUGUUGUAAAAGGGUCAUUGGAAGGUGGCUUUCUUUUCGGAGAAAGUGUUUAUAGCCUUUGGCCCUCUGCAAUCGGAGAGACUGAGGUCUGCAGCGUAGAUCCUUCGGGGUUAGAUACAUUUGUGCUAAGUUAUAGCUUUUUAUAGACAACUUGUUGACUAUGAUUAGUCUUGUAGCUUACUCGCUUAUGCUAUUUUACCUACGCUUAGGAUGUUGAGUCGUAGAGCACGCAG
rnacentral:rRNA from 1 species